AAAUGAAAGAUUAUGCCUUGGUCCAGUUACUUUUUUAAUUCGAUCUUUUUAUGUAGACACUGGGACUGGGUGGCAAGAAAAAGUUGGAAAGGCAGCAUAAUUGGAAAAUUGGGUUAUCACGAUCACCCCCUUAACAGAGGAGUCUGCAUUUGACGUUACUUUCAACUAGGGUAAGGCGAUUGGAGUCCCGAUAGCAUUCAUAAUUAGAAAUGAGCAUCAUAGUGAGUUAUACUCAAAGUCCACUUUGUUGUAAUUCAUGGGUCUACCUUGCUAAGUACAAAAAAGACAGUGUUUUCUUUGCUAACAAGGUAAGCAAGUUAUGGAAUGAAAGCAUGCUGCUCAAACUUCAAAUCCAAUUUAAGAAUCACUCAAAAUUUCUCUGCAACAACAUACUCAUUUAGCUGUAUCUCAUGCUAAAAUACUAACAAGGAUCAUUUCAACGUCGACCUUCGCCAUUGACGUAUACCUUGCGACCUCAUCAUCAUGUACUUAAGCUUGAGCAAGCAGUCCACGCUGGCUUUCUUUUACGUCCAAGGAUAAUUGAAGAUUGAGAAACAGAAGGUAAGAGGACUGGAUGAUCAAGUAUUAACUCAUUGUAAAAAGCAAAGGUAAACCAUGAAAAUCUUGAAGUGAUAUCCCAUGACCUACAAUUAUUUUCUUAUCGAUUAAUUCAUUAUUGGAAGGCUACUCGGAGUCUCCAUCUCUUGGAAGAGUUGUAUUAUUUGCGUUUGAUUGGAAGGGCUGUAGAGAUUUGAUUCAAAUUGGUGCAUUUGCGUAAGAAAGAAACCUAAAUCUUUUCUUUCGAUUUUAAGAGCUGAAUGGACAUGCUCUGUUUGAAAUACAUGUUUAGAUUUGCAAAAUUUUCUUAACAUGCAUGCUUCAAUGGUAGAAUAGAAUUGAUAGAACAUGUACGGUGGCUAGCUUUUCGAUCUUCAUUUCAGGUUGAACAAUUAUUUUCUUAUAUAUCUUAAUGGUAGAAGAGAACGGACAUAUACCAUCAGCUAUAAUUUAGGUUCACAAGAUUUUCUUAUCAUCCUUUUGAACGUUUUGCAUGAGAAUGGAUAUAUAGCAGAAUGGAUAGUUGUAGUGGACAGUCAACUUUAAUAAUUCUUAAUCCCAUUGGCUAUAUAUCUUGUAGAAACACCAUUAAAUUGUACGCGCGGGCAUAAAUCUCUAGUUAUAACUAAAAAUAAGAUAAAAUAAACAGUAUAAUAUCGACUCAUUAGAAGCAUCUACAUUAACACAUACAAAUUGAUAAAAGAAAGAAUCAUAAGCAGUUACCAAAUAUUUAAACUUCACUAGUAGCAAUGUGCUGAAAGACUGAAAUU